rnacentral:misc_RNA from 1 species
AUCUAUAAUCGUGAAAAUUUUUCGCGGAUCUGGAUUUUCCGAGUUUUCUUAAGACUUUGGUAACCUAAAAUUUAUCUUAACAAUCUUUAGGUAUUAAUAUUAAAAGUGUUUUAUCUUUACAUAUUGUAAGUUCAUUGAUAAUUAUACCAAUUGUUGCAUCGCGUUAUUAAUCUAGUAUUUUUUGAUUGGUGGAAUAAUUCAACUCUUUUA